rnacentral:sRNA from 1 species
AUGUACCACUCGUACACUCCGGUUCCUGUGCGCCGUCCACGCCCACCUGGCGACCGCUCGCUAGGUUUUGUUAGCC